UGCGUAGGCGGAUUUAUAAGUCAGUGGUGAAAUCCUACAGCUUAACUGUAGAACUGCCAUUGAUACUGUAGAUCUUGAGUACGGUUGAGGUGGGCGGAAUGUGUCAUGUAGCGGUGAAAUGCUUAGAUAUGACACAGAACACCAAUUGCGAAGGCAGCUCGCUAAACCGUAACUGACGCUGAGGCACGAAAGCGUGGGGAGCGAACAGGAUUAGAUACCCUGGUAGUCC
rnacentral:rRNA from 1 species